rnacentral:rRNA from 1 species
GAUGAACGCUAGCGGCAGGCUUAAUACAUGCAAGUCUAGGGGGCAGCAAUGUCACCGGCGUACGGGUGCGUAACACGUAUGCAACCUACCCGUCAUUGGGGGAUAGCUCGGGGAAACUCGAAUUAAUACCGCAUAAGAUAGUAGAGUGGCAUCAUUCAGCUAUUAAAGAUUUAUUGAUGACGGAUGGGCAUGCGUUAGAUUAGGUAGUUGGUAGGGUAACGGCUUACCAAGCCUACGAUCUAUAGGGGCUCUGAGAGGAGAAUCCCCCACACUGGCACUGAGAUACGGGCCAGACUCCUACGGGAGGCAGCAGUAGGGAAUAUUGGGCAAUGGGCGAAAGCCUGACCCAGCCAUGCCGCGUGCAGGACGAAGGCCCUCUGGGUUGUAAACUGCUUUUUUGAGGGAAGAAAAGACUCGUUGCGACGAGAGUUGACGGUACCUUAAGAAUAAGCCACGGCUAACUACGUGCCAGCCGCCGCGGUAAUAC